rnacentral:rRNA from 1 species
GACGAACGCUGGCGGCGUGCUUAACACAUGCAAGUCGAACGGAAAGGCCCUGCUUUUGUGGGGUGCUCGAGUGGCGAACGGGUGAGUAACACGUGAGUAACCUGCCCUUGACUUUGGGAUAACUUCAGGAAACUGGGGCUAAUACCGGAUAGGAGCUCCUGCUGCAUGGUGGGGGUUGGAAAGUUUCGGCGGUUGGGGAUGGACUCGCGGCUUAUCAGCUUGUUGGUGGGGUAGUGGCUGACCAAGGCUUUGACGGGUAGCCGGCCUGAGAGGGUGACCGGCCACAUUGGGACUGAGAUACGGCCCAGACUCCAACGGGAGGCAGCAGUGGGGAAUAUUGCACAAUGGGAGGGAGCCUGAGGCAGAAACGCCGCGUGCGGGAUGACGGCCUUCGGGUUGUAAACCGCUUUAGCCUGUGACGAAGCGUGAGUGACGGUAAUGGGUAAAGAAGCACCGGCUAACUACGUG